AACCCGGUAUCUUUGAAAUCUCGAACAAUGAAUCCAAACUCCUUUAUUCCUUCUAUUUACUAUUCAGUUGCAUUCUUGAAAGAGAAUUCAUUGCAUCGAUUCUCAGUCUCCUGAUGUAAAUCUAGUAGGUUUUGUUGUUGAAGCUUUUGAUAUGGCAAUUCUAGGUUGUUUGGUUCUUGUUGUAGCUUAUUGUUGUGAUGCAUAGGCUCUUCUAGUUCCUGCCUCCUUUGUUCCACCUUUAGUAGUUGCUGAUGAGGCUCAUCUGGUUGCAUCACAUCCGUUGCAUCUGUACAGAAAUUCAUGCAUGUAAUUCUUGAUUUUGCUCUUUGUUUUUGAGAGGUUGUAUUAUAUUUUUAUUUUCAUAAUUGUGAACCUAUAAAUUGGAAGAUUACUGCCAAACUCUUGUGUAGUUGCUUUUAUUGCUGGGCUUUGAAUGCUCGACUCUUCAUAAUAUCCAACAGUUGGCAUGUUUGCCCUUUUAGAAGUAUAUAUCCUAUGGUGCAUCUUUUCUAAAUAAUAGGGUGGCAUAUACUUCUCUUGUAACUUAGCUUUCAUCUCCUGCCACAUAACAAUUGGUGGAUGGCUUGGUCUUUUCAUAUCAUUCUCAACACCAUACCACCAUAUUUUUGCUAAUCCAAUGAAUUUCACGUUUGCAAACGUCACUCUACGAUCUUCCCCAUGCUAUGCUUAUCAAAGUAUGAUUCAAUAGAAUUGAGCCAAGCCAAUAACAAAAUAGAGUAGGAUCCAACAAAACUUCAAAAGUAGCAACCUUUAUUUUGUCUCUCAUGUCAAAAUUGUCUACUGUACCUUUUAAUUGAAAUUGCCUUCUAU
rnacentral:misc_RNA from 1 species